GGAUGAAAAGUUUUUUGCAACCCUUCCUUAGACUUCCUUUACCAUUUCGCAGUUUCCACUUCCUUUUCAGCCAAGAGACCACUUCUGCUGUAUUUUCUCCAAGGCCGAAGCUAAUAUAACGAUGAUCAAAGAAGAUGUGGUCAUCCCCACACUCCCCAGUCACAUAUCCUUCCGCUGAUAUUCUCCGGCAUAUACAUAACCUAUAGCACCUCCUGCCUUGUCCUGGUAAUAAAGGUGGGUUUACUUGCUUUGCGUCUUUAACUAAGAUUUUUGUCUUUAAAAACAAGACGUAAAGUUAAGGAUCUACCAACCUAAAAAAAUCCAAGAAAAAUUAUCUUCCAC
rnacentral:sRNA from 1 species